CCUUUGAUAGCUCAGCUGGUAGAGCCGAGGACUGUAGAUCCUUAGGUCGCUGGUUCAACUCCGGCUCAAAGGA